rnacentral:rRNA from 1 species
UACGUAGGUGGCGAGCGUUAUUCGGAUUUACUGGGCGUAAAGGGUCCGCAGGGGGCGCGCCGCGCCCGCCGUGAAAGACCGGGGCUCAACCCCGGGCCUGCGGCGGGUACGGGCGCGCUGGAGUGCCGCCAGGGCAGAUGGAAUUCCGGGUGUAGCGGUGGAAUGCGUGGAUAUCCGGAAGAACACCGAUGGCGAAGGCGAUCUGCUUCGCGGCGACUGACCCUCAUGGACGAGAGUGUGGGUAG